AAGCACUUUGACCUCUGCAAUUGAAAAGUACUUUAUGAGGUGACAGAAUUUUCUGUUAGGCUUUGCUGAACCUAUUCACACGUCUGAGGUGACCUAUUUUUCUGACUGUGUCUCAACACUGGCACUGAUAUGUUUUUCCAAGGAUUUUUCAUUGAUAUUUAAAAAUUAUUGUUACACUCCCUUUCUGCUUUAGUAAACAGAUGAUAAUACAGGCUUUCCUUACUGUCCCAACACCUGCCUUUUUCGGGAAUCACACAUAUUGUUAGUGUUGAGAUAACACAUUUUGAACCUUUAUUUUUAUUUUCUGUGUGCUUUUAUUGCCCAGAAAGUGUGUGUGUGCGUGUCUGUCUGUCUGUCUACGGUGAGGGGAGGUGGGAAGAGGGAGAGGGCAGGGAAGGAGAAGGAAGCAAAGCAAAGCUUUGAAGUUAGUGCAAAACUAAUAUUUUGGGUAAAAAGCUUUUCCUUUGCCAGAGCAAAUAUUUGAUUGCUUCAAUUCUUCUAAAAUAGUCUAUUUUCUUCUUGUUUCAGCAUCUAGUAAAUUUUGGGCAGUCCUGUUUAGCAAAAGAGAAUGAAUCCAAUCAGCAUGUCUCAGAAGGUACAGCAAUAGGGUUGGAGGAAAAAUAAUGUAUGAGAAAAGUGAACUGCAGUGUGCUUUUAACUCAUUUAUAACAGUUAAUCAAACUAAAUAUCUGACUGGCAAAUUAACCACUUUGAAGAUAUUUUGUCACGAGAGUGAUGGUGGCGAAAGGUACAGGUGAUACCUUGUAUGUGCCAAUCAGCCAUUUAUCUUACUGGCCAGCCAGAAAAUGGCUUUCAUUAGUUACAUAGCUUUAUGGAACUAAACUCAUUUCUUUGAGGUGUGAUGGCACAAUAAAGAGAAUAUUACCAUGUGACUGAGGCCAAUCUUCUGUUUUGCCCAAUAGGCCACUUUCCGAGUGAUAGCAUUUUCAAAAUUUGAGGUUUGUAGGGCCAGUCGCUGAGGCCGAUGACUGCAGGCAGGUCCCUUUUCCUUUGUUUGGGUCAGUGGCCCCAAGGUGAGCUGUGCUGCUCUGGUUCUUGUUUGGUGUAUACACGAUGGCAUCCUCUGUUCAGGUCUAAGGUUUCAUGUCUUCACCAGUAGAAACAGGAUACCUUCUCAAUUUUUAAAUUAGAACUGCAAGUUUAAUUCUUUAUCAAACCAUCUAAAUAUGAUAACCCCAAUCAGUAAUUAAAAUUCCCCCAGUUUAAAAAUUGUAUUCAUCCCUGAGAGGUCUGAGAAACAAAAUUUAAAACAAAAAUAAACAAUUUAAAACUGAAAGGGAGCUCUCAGAUUCUGUCUGUCUAAGCUUCUCAUUUUAAAGGUGAAAACAAUACAGUUAUCACGUACAGCUCUAAAGGUUCUGUUGUCGGUGUUUUGUAUGUGUAUAAUGUGGGGUGUGUGUGUUGUGUGUGUGUGUGUGUGUGUGUGUGUGUGCGUAUGAACUGAUUCUUGCAAGCUGAUGAGGUCGUUAUGAUUAUUUAUUUAUUUAUUUAUUUAUUUAUUUAUUUAUUUAUUUGAGAAGGAGUCUCUCUCUGUCGCCCAGGCUGGAGUGCAGUGGUGCGAUCUCGGCUCACUGCAAGCUCCACCUCCCGGGUUCACGCCAUUCUCCUGCCUCAGCCCCGAGUAGCUGGAACUACAGGCGCCCCCCACCACACCCGGCUAAUUUUUUGUAUUUUUAGUAGAGACAGGGUUUCACCGUGUUAUCCAAGAUGGUCUCGAUCUCCUGACCUCAUGAUCCGCCCGCCUCGGCCUCCCAAAGUGCUGGGAUUACAGGCGUGAGCCACCGCGCCCGGCCGAGGUCGUUAUGAUUAUUAUUAUCCCUGCCUUACAGGUAAGAAACCUAGGCCUCGAGGGGUUCAUUUACCUUCCGUGGUCAAAGAUCUAGCAGUGGCA
rnacentral:lncRNA from 1 species